UGCCUGUAUUGCCAGUUCAUAUGGGUGGAUUAAAUGUAAUCAAAGCGGAAACCUCCACCCACCUUUAGGAGACAGGUCAUUGUGGCUACCGCCUCGCAAAUCAUCCAAGCGCCUGCAUGCGCGUCUUUACGCAUGAUUUCAUCAUUCCACAGAUGGGUUGAGUCGGAGGAAAGAUGUGAGCGCUAUUAUCGAUUGAGGGAACAUGAGACGCCUGCGGGCCACUCUUGGAUUCAUGGCAGGAAUCAAGAGCCCGAGACUCUCGUAAACCUCCAGCGUGGUCCAGGGAGCUCGCGAACUGAAGAGGUCAUCAUGCUUCAUCAUCACCAUAACCAUCGACAUCAUCAUCCUCAUCCUCAUCAUCACCAUCCUCAUCAUCACCGCUAGUUGACCAUACAAACCUGGGGCGCUGUGUGUUUUCACAGGCGCGUUGCCCUUUUAUUGAUUGCGUGCCUUAAUUUUAAUUCGAUUGCGCGAGUGUCAAAAAUUCCGCAAGAAUCAUCCUAGUAAUGAGAUAAUCAAAGUAAUAUAUGCAAAUCAGUUAUGUUGCCAGCUUAUCAAAACCGGAGUGCCCCCCCUUGAGUCUGAAGAAGUCCAUUUAUUCAGUUAGUGGCAAUACCUUGCGCAAAUGGCGCGAUGCAAAUGACAGUUGAUUAGACUAAAUUAAGAACCUCGUUUC